UUUGGCCAGUACCUAAUUUCUUUCGGCUACGGAAGGCGUUCACUCUCGGUCCACUAGAAUUCAUCCCGGUCCAAAGAACCGUCACUAACAAACAGUUCUCCAUCUACCUAUUACUCUCCUUUCUUUUCGUUGAGAGAUUGGGAUUAGUACUACUAGCAGGUAGCUAAACUUACCGCACUCGGCCAUGUAUCAUGCAACACGUGUAGAUAGAGACAACAUUAAUUAUUUGAGUCGUCAAACCACACCAAACUUACUCGGCUCGCCUCAGGCUCGGGAUGCAUGCAACACGUACGUGCGUACACGAGGCAUGCACAUACAAGUACAGUACGGAGUAGUAAUCUAGAGAAAUCAAAGAGCGAAGAACUCUCACGUACAUGCAUUAUAUCGCACCAAAAAUACUACUACUCCGUUAACUAAAUUAUCAAUACUACAAAACAGUGUGCUCCGUCUGAUGACUAUCAUUAGUAACGAACAUACCACGUCCGUCACUGAUAAGUGGUCAUCAGUCAGUGACGGGUGUGGUAUGCCCGUCACUGAUGACCACUCAUCAGUAACUGAUCUCUUCUCUCGAAUCUCUCUCUCAUAAGGCUCCUUUCUCUCCCUCUAUCUCCUCUCGGAUCUCUCUCAUAAGAUCCCUUUCUCUCACUCUACUGCAGGCCUUUUCCCCCAUCGGCACCGGCUCCGGCUCCGACACCGUCGUUCACCCCCGCAUGUGGAGCAGCAGCAGCACGAACGGCCUGGAGCACCGGCGGUGACGCGUGGAAGAGCACCGGUGGCGAUUAGUUCGAUUUGUUGUAACAUUUGAUUAAUUUGUUUGAUUUGUGAUUUGAGGAAUCGGGCAUGUGGCCUGUUUUUUUAAUUGAAUGGAAUGAUAUCCGGCCGCCGGCUUGAGGAUUAGUGAUUCGAUAUAUGAUUUGCGAUCAGGAAACGUGAGGGCCGGGAGGGCCAUUUCUAUUUUAUUUUUAUUUUUUUGAAAACAACAUCAGUGUCGGUCAUAUUUUGUUGCCCACCACUGAUGUGUUAUACAUCACUAACUGGCAGGCCGCCCGUCACUAAUGCCAAACACAUCGUGACAGGAAGUUAGUGACGGACGGCCCGCCCAUUACUGAUAUGUUUUUUUUUACAUAACCAUUUUUCUAGCAGUGUAUCUUGUUGGACUCUGCAUGUGCGCAAAGAAGAUGUACCACAUGCAUAGCAAGUGUCAGCCCCACCAAUGUAGCAAAAGGUGAGACAUCCUUUUCUUUGCUAGUCACUUCCAUCGAUGGAUGGUGGAUGCGUUCAUCGCUCGCACUGUACUGUCAACCACAUGGCUGCCCAAAGGGCCACAUACGUACAUGCAUCAUGCGAGUUUGACAACACGAUAGCAACUUAACCCAAUACAAUGCUCAAACUGUAUACAUCCAAUUGCGAAAGGAAAAGGAGACUAAGAACACUAACCAACGAAAGAGAUAAUAAUACUAAGAAGUUUGAAGUACGUCCUCGGUGAAUUGAAUCGGAUGCCUAUUUCCUUAUUCAAAUUCAAGUCUCUCG
rnacentral:lncRNA from 1 species